GAUGAACGCUGGCGGCGUGCCUAAUACAUGCAAGUCGAGCGAACGGACGAGAAGCUUGCUUCUCUGAUGUUAGCGGCGGACGGGUGAGUAACACGUGGAUAACCUACCUAUAAGACUGGGAUAACUUCGGGAAGCCGGAGCUAAUACCGGAUAAUAUUUUGAACCGCAUGGUUCAAAAGUGAAGGACGGUCUUGCUGUCACUUAUAGAUGGAUCCGCGCUGCAUUAGCUAGUUGGUAAGGUAACGGCUUACCAAGGCAACGAUGCAUAGCCGACCUGAGAGGGUGAUCGGCCACACUGGAACUGAGACACGGUCCAGACUCCUACGGGAGGCAGCAGUAGGGAAUCUUCCGCAAUGGGCGAAAGCCUGACGGAGCAACGCCGCGUGAGUGAUGAAGGUCUUCGGAUCGUAAAACUCUGUUAUUAGGGAAGAACAUAUGUGUAAGUAACUGUGCACAUCUUGACGGUACCUAAUCAGAAAGCCACGGCUAACUACGUG
rnacentral:rRNA from 1 species